rnacentral:tRNA from 1 species
GGCCUCAUCGUCUAGUGGCUAGGACAUGUGGUUCUCAUCCACACAACAGGGGUUCAAUUCCCCUUGAGGCUA